rnacentral:rRNA from 1 species
AGCGAACGCUGGCGGCAGGCUUAACACAUGCAAGUCGAGCGCCCGUAGCAAUACGGGAGCGGCAGACGGGAGAGUAACACGUGGGAACAUGCCCUUCGGUUCGGAAUAACUCAGGGAAACUUGAGCUAAUACCGGAUACGUCCGUAAGGAGAAAGAUUUAUCGCCGAAGGAUUGGCCCGCGUCCGAUUAGCUUGUUGGUGAGGUAAUGGCUCACCAAGGCGACGAUCGGAGCUGGUCUGAGAGGAUGAUCAGCCUCACUGGGACUGAGACACGGCCCAGACUCCUACGGGAGGCAGCAGCAAGGAAUUUUCCGCAAUGGGC